UAAUGCUUGGGAAUCUGGCUUAUGGAGGGGAUAACUACGGGAAACUGUAGCUAAUACCGCGUAGAAUCGGGAGAUGAAAGUGUGGGACCUUCGGGCCACAUGCCAUAGGAUGAGCCCAAGUGGGAUUAGGUAGUUGGUGAGGUAAAGGCUCACCAAGCCGACGAUCUCUAGCUGGCCUGAGAGGAUGACCAGCCACACUGGGACUGAGACACGGCCCAG
rnacentral:rRNA from 1 species